CUUAUGUUCAAAAGGAGAGGAGUUUAGCACUCCCCGUGACAAGGAUGGAAUAAAUCAUAAAGGCAUUU
rnacentral:ncRNA from 1 species